rnacentral:snRNA from 1 species
GCUCACUUCCAUAGCACAUGAUUGGAACAAUACAGAGAAGACUGGCCCCAGAACAAGGAUGACACACAAAUUCAUGAACCAUUCCAGAUUUUU